GACGAACGCUGGCGGCGUGCUUAACACAUGCAAGUCGAACGGAAAGGCCCUGCUUUUGUGGGGUGCUCGAGUGGCGAACGGGUGAGUAACACGUGAGUAACCUGCCCUUGACUUUGGGAUAACUUCAGGAAACUGGGGCUAAUACCGGAUAGGAGCUCCUGCUGCAUGGUGGGGGUUGGAAAGUUUCGGCGGUUGGGGAUGGACUCGCGGCUUAUCAGCUUGUUGGUGGGGUAGUGGCUUACCAAGGCUUUGACGGGUAGCCGGCCCGAGAGGGUGGCCGGGCCCCAUGGGCCCUGGGGACGGGCCAGGGCGCUACAGGGGGCAAGGGGGGGGAAAUUUUGCCAAAGGGGCGGAGCCCGUAGAGAGCAACCCCGGGGGGGGAAGGCCGCCUUUGGGGUGGAAAACCCCUUUCGCCUGUACCGAGGCGGGGGGGCGGUUAUUGGUGAAAAAGCCCCGGCUAACUUCGUU
rnacentral:rRNA from 1 species